CCUACGUGGCCCCUCAGAGGCAGGCUGAACCCCAGGCCUACAUCUUUCCUCAGGUUGCUCCUCUCAAGUCCCGAGUGCUCACAUAAAUGCCAAAUGGUUUCGUGUCAGUCCAAAGUGGGGACAAUAGCAGGUGCAGCUGGUGUCCUCGGAUGAAUAUUUUAUUUUUAAAUAAAUACAUUAAUUUAC